rnacentral:lncRNA from 10 species
GCUUGUAUCUCUGGGAGCAUAUUUUUGAAGGCUUACUUGAUCCCAGCGAUGUGACUGCUCAAUGGAGAGAAGGAAAGUCAAUCGUAGGAAGAACACAGUACAGAAAGAAAGACAGAAAUAUGACUCCUUUUUCACCACUGAAUCGGUAACAUCAUCCAUAGGCUGUGCUCAGAAUAUGAAUGCAUGAAUACAUACAGGGCAAACUGAACUUCUGGAUGAGCCUGAUGAAGCCCUGUCACCUCUGGGCAGUGUAGCAUGUGACUCAGUUAUUGAGAGUACAGACUCUGGAGCCAGACUAUCUUUGUUCAAAUUCUUUUAUUUUUUUCAGACAGAGUCUU